rnacentral:rRNA from 1 species
UACGUAGGGUGCGAGCGUUAAUCGGAAUUACUGGGCGUAAAGCGUGCGCAGGCGGUUCUGAAAGUCAGCUGUGAAAGCCCCGGGCUUAACCUGGGAACUGCGGUUGAAACUACAGGACUAGAAUCUGGCAGAGGGGGGUGGAAUUCCACGUGUAGCAGUGAAAUGCGUAGAGAUGUGGAGGAACACCGAUGGCGAAGGCAGCCCCCUGGGCUGAGAUUGACGCUCAUGCACGAAAGCGUGGGGAGCAAACAGG